rnacentral:rRNA from 1 species
CCCUUAGAUGUUCUGGGCUGCACGCGCGCUACACUGAUGCGUUCAACGAGUUUAUCACCUUGCCCGAUAGGGUUGGGUAAUCUUUUGAAAACGCAUCGUGAUGGGGAUAGAUUAUUGUAAUUAUUAAUCUUCAACGAGGAAUUCCUAGUAAGCGUAAGUCAUAAGCUUGCGCUGAUUACGUCCCUGCCCUUUGUACACACCGCCCGUCGCUACGACCGACUGUUUCUGUCAAUGAAGCUGUAGGAUUUGGUCCUGGCCGGGCUUCACGGCCUGGCUGCGGCACUGGAGAUCACAGUUUAGUUGAUACGAAAUACAGGACGUAAAAGUCGUAACA